UAAUACGAAUGGAGCGAGCGUUGUUCGGAAUCACUGGGCGUAAAGCGUGCGCAGGCGGUCUUGAAAGUCAGGAGUGAAAUCCCAGGGCUUAACCCUGGAAUUGCUCUUGAAACUCCAAGACUGGAGUACUGGAGAGGUUGGCGGAAUUCCGAGUGUAGCAGUGAAAUGCGUAGAUAUUCGGAGGAACACCGAUGGCGUAGGCAGCCAACUGGACAGUUACUGACGCUCAUGCACGAAAGCGUGGGGAUCAAACAGG
rnacentral:rRNA from 1 species